rnacentral:misc_RNA from 1 species
CCCUCUGCCACCUGUGGAUGGGACAGUGCGACUCCAGUUUCUCUCUGCUGCUCGCGCUGUGGAACGUGGUGGCCCUGCUGGUCCCCCGCCCCGCUUCCCUGGCGCCCUGCUACUGUUGUUGCUCCCACGCCAGCCCGCCCAUCCCACACACCCGUCAUCACUACACCUAGUCCAUAGUCCCUGCCCCACGGGCGCCGCCCCCCCUUCACCUCCCCGGGGGACCUGCGGCGGGCUACCCAGGUGGUGGAGAUCCCCAGGGCGGCUAGUGGGAGGCGUGGUGGGCGUGCGGCGUGAGAGGAUGGGCGUGGGGGGUCUGUUGCAGGCGUGCGUCACCACUGGUCAAUGGGGCCCUGGCCAACUCUCCGUCCCUCACACCUGAGUGUCCUCCACGAGCCCCCAGGGUGUAUGCGUGAGGGCGCGCGCACGGGAGGACGCUGAGUGUGACGCACCACAGACUGCUGGCAGUGGCCGCGCAUGACGUACUAACGCACCGCGGCGGCGACCAGUUUGUGCUUGGGUGAGUCGCCAGCGUCAGGAGGAGCUGCCUGCCGCGCCGCCCGUAGAGUGCACCAAAGAUGGCGGGGGGCGACACCAAGAAGACGGUGGUGCCGUGUGGGCGUGAUGAUGGUGGUGGUGGUGGGGACGUCCUGGCCAGGGAGGGCGUGGGCCCCCCAGGGGACGCAGAAGGGGAGGAGAGAGAGACCUGGGGCAAGAAGGUCGACUUUCUCCUCUCGGUCAUCGGCUUCGCGGUCGACCUCGCCAACGUGUGGAGAUUCCCUUACCUCUGCUACAGGAACGGUGGAGGCGCCUUCCUGCUGCCGUACUGCGUCAUGCUGGUACUGGGGGGCAUCCCGCUCUUCUUCAUGGAGUUAGCCCUCGGACAGUAUAACCGCAAGGGCGCCAUCACCUGCUGGGGCCGCCUCGUCCCACUCUUCAAAGGUGUGGGGUUCCAGGUGGUGUGUAUUGCCUUCUACGUGGACUUCUUCUACAACGUCAUCCUGGCCUGGAGUCUCCGCUUCUUCUUCGCCUCCUUCACCACCGCUCUGCCCUGGACCAACUGUAAUAACGAGUGGAAUACCCCCAACUGUAGGGAGAUCGGCAGCAGGAAUGGGCCAGAGGAGAUAAUCUACACCAACAGCACCAGUUAUGAGGAGACCACCAGCAUCCUGCCCUCCCUCGAUAACUUCACCUCGAUAGAUUCACAAGUCGUCAGGGAGAAGAUCAAGUUUACUUCACCGGCGGAGGAGUACUGGACGCGUGUGGUUCUUCAGAUACAAGAGAGCCCCGGUAUAUAUGACUUAGGAAUCAUCAAAUGGGACCUGGCGUUGUGUCUCCUGGCAGUCUACCUCAUCUGCUACUUCUCUCUGUGGAAGGGCAUCUCCACCUCUGGCAAGGUGGUGUGGUUCACGGCGGUGUUCCCCUACGUGGUGCUCUUCAUCCUGCUCAUCAGGGGCGUGACACUACCGGGCGCCGCAGAAGGCAUCAAGUACUACCUCAACCCUGACUUUUCUAAGAUCUGGGUCGCCGAGGUAUGGGUAGACGCGGCCACGCAGAUCUUCUUCAGCCUGGGGCCGGGCUUCGGGGUCCUUCUUGCCUUCGCCUCCUACAACAAGUUCCACAACAACGUCUACAAGGAUGCAAUGGCCACCAGCCUCAUCAACUGUUGCACCAGCUUCAUCUCCGGGUUCGUCAUCUUCUCUGUGCUGGGUUACAUGAGUCACAAGAGCGGCAAACCCAUCAACGAGGUGGUGGAGGAAGGACCCGGCCUGGUGUUCGUGGUGUACCCUGAGGCCAUCGCUACCAUGCCGGGCUCAACCUUCUGGGCCAUUAUAUUCUUCAUGAUGCUUCUUACCCUCGGCCUCGACUCUUCUUUCGGGGGGUCAGAGGCGGUGAUCACGGCCCUCAGUGACGAGUUCCCCAUCAUUGGUCGUAACCGUAAGAUCUUCGUCGCCAUCCUCUUCUCCGUGGACUUCUUAGUCGGCCUCGCCUGCUGUACACAGGGCGGAUUCUACGUGUUUUCCGUGUUGGAUCGCUACGCUGCUGGAUACUCCAUACUGUUCGCUGUCUUCUGUGAGGCCAUCGCUGUCUCCUGGAUAUAUGGUAUAGACCGGCUGCAAGACGACAUCAGGGAGAUGAUCGGUUUCGCCCCGGGUCUCUACUGGCGCACUUGUCUCAAAUUCUUCGCUCCUGCCUUCAUCGGCAUCAUCAUCGUGUACGGCCUCAUCACAUACAAGCCGCUGUCCGCCUCUGAUCCGGAGGCUUUCCCCUGGUGGACAGACCUCAUAGGCUGGAUCAUGGCUGGCUCCUCCAUGAUCAUGAUCCCCUUCGUCGCCAUUUACAAGAUAAUCAAGGUUCCUGGUCCUGCGACAUUACGCCAGCGGCUGAAGAUCCUGACAACGCCGUGGAGGGAUCAGCAGGUGUCUGUAGGUAACGGGGUGAGAGCCGAGACCAACCAGAUCAUCCUUAACUCUGACACUCCCGCGCCAGACCAAGUGUAGCCACCACGCCUCCCUACAACACUACAACAACAAAAUGAAAUAUUAACAACAAAACUGCCCUCCAAGCUCCCGACACUAGAACAAGUGAACCACGAGACUGAAGAGUUUUAACGGAAGUAUCUGAUAAGGUAGACGCAAUGCAGUUACAACUAGAAAAUCACCUGAUAAAAUAGUUAUAGGUUCUGUAAGUCAGCCAGCAGUCAUGAGGCGACAAUGAACUCCAACACUGGAGAAACAGCAGCUGCACGCUUCCCUGGACCGCUCACCCGUCAUCUAUACAUAUCAACUGACCAUAUUUAUAAAGGGACAAACUUCCUCUCAUGCCAUAAAAUUCCAAGCCGAUGGUACAUUUUUUCAAGGGACAACACAAGGGGACCUGGGCAAGUCUUCUACCAUUUGAUGUUGACGGGAACCUAAUGACCAAGGUCGGAUGUUUACCGUUCUCAGCAGGAGCAUGUUGUUGUGCCACCAGAGGUUACCAGACCUUAACCCUGAAACUACACGUCAACAGCAGCCAGGUUAUACUACGUAACUGUUAGUUUUAAAUGUUGGUGAAAUAUGAGAAUAUUUAGGAAUAUUAACACCAUCACUAGUUGUUCAGUGGGGAGUAACUUAGCUCUUGAUUAGGGUAACUUUUGCAUAGUUUACUUGUUUGGUUUUUGCUGUAAUGUCUGGUGGUACAAUUUUAUGCUUCAUUAGAAGAUUUGAUAAAUUAUAGACAUUGGUACUGUAUAUGAGUAAAAUAUAAACAACAUGACCAAUACUAACUGUUUCUGAAUAUUGUAGUACAAUCUAACAAUGUAUGAAUCUAACAGUGUCAAAAUCUAACACAAAUGUAUCAAUUGAUGUAGUAACAAGAUCUAACCGAUUGUAUGAGUCUAACAUAGAAUGGUAAAGCCUAACCUUGUAUGACUGGUAAUAGUGCUGUAUGUAGAUUUAUUGUGUACUAUAUUACUGUAGGUGUGUUAUUCUGUGCGUCUCACUACAUGACUUGGUCGCCAUCAUAAUCUCUCUGAUAUGUCUUAGUCUAGUUUGUGGCGUCACCGCUCAGUUUCUGGUGUUAUGAUUUAAUUUAAUACCUUUACGUGUGUGUUUCGUCGGAGUUUUUAUAUUAAAUGGCGGAGCUUAUUCGUGGCGUCCAACAUCAAGUAAUUGGCAUUGAUUAUGUUGAUAAUUCACAUCACUUCCUCGACCCCGGAUUCUGAGGAAAAAUAGUGGUUCUUGAGCUGACCAGCCCACAGGGGAUGAUAACUGCAGUAUAUGGUGUCCAAACAACAGAUCGUGCAAGCAAAUAAGCCUGAUCCACGCAACACACUACUGUACUGUACUUGCGUUUACUAAUAUAACUGGAGCUUGCCUCAUCACAACAGCUGAGCAGUUUUUGUAGCGCUUCAUCAUUCUGUCUGUGGCUGGGUCAUCACAGUACUGUUAAGUUUAUAAUGUUCGUGGCUAUAGUUGUUUGUGUACACCGACUUGUGUAGCGGUAGGCAGUGUAAAUAAGAGGAUGUGUGGACGCUGGAUGUCCCUGAAGGUAGGUGUACCUGUAUCUGUCAACAUGGAUUAGUUUUCAUGGUUUAUAACUAGUCAAAAUAAUGCCUCAUUAGAUAAAUAAUCAAAGUCUUCACUUUACUUGAACGUGACUAUAUAGUUCAUGGGCAGUGUGACAGUAUCUUGUAGGAGUUAAGAUUAGAGAGAAGGAAAAUGCCUCAAGUGUUAUGUGAAGGUACUGUACUGGGGGUAGAAGAACGGUUUUUGUUUAGUUGUUCGUAAUUGUUUUUAGCUCCCUGUUGGUCAGCACCAGGGUCAGUCGACGUUUGUGUAGUGGUAAGGCAACAGGUAUUAGUAUUAGUCUGUCAGUGUCCGUAUACAGUGGUCAAUAGUCAAGUCUGUCCAGUUAUAUUGUAUUGUAUUUUACAGAUUAUAAAACUGCCUUUCCGAAUGGCAUUAUCUUAGUAAACAAAAGAAUGUAACCACCUGAGAAAUCACACCGAACUUUGUGACGUGACGUGAAACACUCAUUUGAAUGACUUGUCUUAGCAGAGCAGUCACAUGUCAUGCAUCAGGUCUUUGUUUACAGGGCAAAUACUGCGAUCUUUUUGUUUACAGAGGUCCAUCAUCUUGACUCACAUGGAGAUCUCAUUUGGUAAAUAUUUGUGAAGCUAUUUUCGUAUGAGUCUACAAUAAUUAUGUAGGAGAAAUUUAAAGAAGUUAAAAUGCACGUAAGAUAAUGGAUACAACAACGGUUUAUCAUCACAUGUCACUAGUUUUGUUACUCAGUGGUAGACAUAUUGACAACAAGUUAGGAAGGGAAAUAUUAAAAUUGUGCAAUAAUACCAUGUAUCCGCGGUCACUGCUGUAUGGAAAGCGAAGACCUGUAUAGUAUAGUACAGUACAUUAUAUAAUCCCAGGUCUAUGUAACUGUGAAUUUGUAUGAACUAUUUAGAUUACAGCAAAUACCAAUUUUAGAGGUUUUGAUAGAAUAGUAUAUCUAAUAAUUCUUAAUGUCGAUGGACUAGUGUAGUUACUGAAGUAGUUAGGCGCUUAAAGACCUUAGAAAGUUUUAAGCGUAGUGAUAACAUUACUCCAUCAACAAGAGCAUUUGUUUAUAUAUGUCGCAUAAGUUAUUUUUGGUGCCGUUAAUACCCAGAUGAUUCAUGACACAAACAUUCCUAUAACGAAUACUGAGACUUUCGUUGUUUGUUAUUCAACUAAAACGUUUUUUUUUUCGUGACAAUAUACCGUACUGCAUGAUUGUCUCUGUCAGACGUAGAAGUUGCACCGUGUACACAACGGUGCAACAUGUGCUCUAUAAACACGCAAUUUUCAAUGAUUCUCAAACUUUAACUGCGGAGUUAUUACCGGUAAAACGUGUAUAUUAAUGAUGCUGUUGUAAUAACCUAUUAACAUAUUCAACUCUGUGUCCUUAUGUACAUAAAACAGGGCUUGUUCACGCGUAGUUAUGGAAAUUUUGAGCAGUUCUGUGAUUUUUUUUAAAUCUCUUGUUUUAUUGAAGAUUUAGGCUUACCAGAGUUCUUCCACUGACCAAUUAAUAUUUUUUUUUUCGUGUUCGUGUCACAAGUCAUCCUUACAAAUAGAAAUAUUGCUAAAAUUUAUAACCUUGUUAAUGACACAUGUAUGGUAAUAAUUAAGUGUUUGUGAUCUAUACUGGACUACUAGAUAAGUUUUUGGGAUAAGUAUAGUCAUUAUAUUUAUAUGAGUGAGAACAGUGCUUCACGGUUUGGCAGGUUCUCGCCCGCCUGUGUACAACUCAGCUCUGGUAGCGAGUUUGUCAACAUUUAUACUCUUGUAUAGUCAUAUAAAGCGUUUUAGUGUUGUGAAUAUAUUUGUAGAAUUAAUUGUUCUGUUAGAAGAUGUAAGUGUGUAUAAACGUUGGUUUUCAACAUUGGAAAAUAAUACAAGUUUCAGCAAGUGCUCCGUAAGAUACUGUGGAGCAGAGGACACGACAGUAGUUGCUGUAAGCUGCACUGCUGGCUGGUUGCACAAGGUCCCUGUAAUUGUGUACUGUAAUUAACGUGAAAUUAUAGUUCGAUAAUAGGAGCAUUUAUAUAAACAAAUCAGUGCACAAGAGGAUAUCAGUUGAGAGUCCGUGUCAACUCUGUUCACCAAAAGCUGAAGAUGUUCUGAACACCCCUGUGUGGUAACCACCAAGCAGGUUUAUAAGAAGAGCAGGGCAGGUCAGCCUUCAAAUCUAGUCUAAUCCUAUUGACACCAGGACUGUGAUUGUCCUGACAGGAUCUGGGUGAGCAAAAUCUGUUCAUAUAAACCAACACUUUAUUUGGAUUUGGUACGACAGUCAUAUUUUUGUCUACUGUAGUACUGUACUGUAAGGCAGAGCUUUAUUAACAGUAAAUUUAUAUAUAAAGUUAACACAUGAAUUCCGUUGAACCUCAGUUAGUAGGGAGUCGUCAGCCACAGACAACUAUAUGUUUCAUGACGUAAGACAAGCGUGGUGUUGGGCUCUGCAAGUGCCUGGUUCAUGUUAGACUUCCUGGGCGUGAGGCGUCGCGCGCGGCUCACUACGCCAGCCACCUCACCUCACCUCACCUUCGUAUAUGUAUGACUCAGUUUGCUUUUUAUGUUUUAUUUAUUACAUUUUAUAUUCCUUCAAGAACCGAGUCUACCUAACCUGGACUUUUUUAUGCCUGUUUGUGGCUUUUGUCAUGACUACUUGAGUGUUACAUGAUUUAAGUUCAACGUGUUUCUAGGUAGUAAAUAUUGAACUAAAGAUUUGUAGAGACAACUAAUUAGUACAUACAUACAUUGUUAAGAGGUAGGGUAUAAUCGCAGUUUUUUGUACAGUGUGGUAUACUAUAGACCGCGACCAGUGUUUAUGACAGCUGCUCGGGGUUUUAAAGACAUUUUUUUUUCGACGCUGUUGAGAAGUUUUUGUUUCUUACAUGUAGUCUUAAGGUUUAACGAGGAUUACUUGUUUCAUUUGUAAGUGGAAUUGUAAAGAUUUUGUGAAGAAUGCAUAUUAUUCAGCGUAGUGUAAGAUAUCACGUUCGUAUCUGAGGGUGCGGGGAAUUUGUCACAUAUUUUCCCGCCUGACGCUCCUGUGUAUUUAUGAGAAAUAUGCUAAACACAGCCAUUGGCAUAUUUCAGGGUGCUUGUAGAUAUGUUAUUGUUUGUGAGUGAGAUUGUUUAAUAUAUAGAGUUUCACCAUAUAUCACACAUUGUUUUCGUUGACACGUGUUUUCCUGGAAAUAUACAGUAUUCUGUCCGGAAGGUAAUUUUUUUAUGAUUAUACUUUUUUGUUAUUGAUUUCUGACGUCAAAGAGAAGGACCAGUCAAUAGGCAUUAUUCCACGUCAGUAGUCAAGCGAGUGUCAGAAUCUAAUCAGAAUUUAUUGCAGUUUUCGAACAUGUUCUUAGAGUGUAGUUUCAUUAGAUUUAGAUUGUCUUGGUACAAACAAAGCCUUUUAUAAAGAUUUUCGAACCUUGUGAUCGAGAGUCGAGAGCAGCCAUACAGAAGGAUUUGUUCAGUGCCAUUCUGUACCGUCAGACCUCAACAAGUUAACAACAACAAACAUAGCCGCCGCAUGUUACAGUUUACGGCCUUCUGUUUUGUUUUCUCUAGUCAUGUUCUAACUGUAUAACAUUCGAUAGUUAAUUGAAAUUCACUCCUUAAUUUCAUCAUCAAACAACAUAAGACUACCAAAUACUUAAAAAAAAAUGUGAAUGUUGAUGUCUUAGUAUUUGAAUAGACUACCAACUUUCCCAGAUUCUCAAAAAAUAACAAAUUACAACAUGACUAAACAGAGAUUAACAAAAUAGAUUGCUAGCGGACACUAUAAUUUGUAUACGGUCUGAAUUAAUGUUUGUGCUGCCAGUGUUGUAGCAAACAGGCGAAGCGGAUCCACUUUUUUAGUUUCAUUUACGUUAAUAUUUUUUUUUAUUACGUGAGGACAAGGUAUUAAUACAGAAAUUACGUUAGGAUAUUUGUUUCUAGAUAAAAAAAUGCGUUCUCUCUCUCUCUCUCACUUUACGCGAGGAUAAAGUAUUAAUUCACCAGUCGCUUAGGUAUCCAUUUAAAGAUUUUUAUUCGUGGCGUAAAACUGGAGUCAUUUAUUAAUAUAACCAUUGAGUUAAUAGCAUUUCAUUUGCUAGUUAUAGUGCUGGUAACUGUUUACUGGUAAUGGCUGAUAUUGGCUAGUUGAGAGUGACUGGAUAUAUUGUAUUAUUAGUUGUUUAUAAGCUAAUUAAAAAUAAAAUAAAAUAUUACAUUUCUGAUACAAGUUGUGAUUCAGAAAAAAGUUAACUAAAAUACUAAUGCAAUUUUGAGUGGUCAGGUCAAGUCAGGUUAGAGGUCAGGUCGAGAGGUCACAGAAAGCGGUCAUUUGAGUUAUUGUAAAUACUGUAAGUCUCUUACGUACAGGUGAGGUCGGCAGGUAAAAUUGUAAAACAGUAUAUUACAAAGAGGUCACUUCUAGAGGUCAUAAUAAACUGCUGAGGUCACCAGGUCAUGUGAUAUAAUAGAGGUCACAUCUAGAGGUCAUAAACUGCUGAGGUCACCAGGUCUUGUGAUAUAAAGAGGUCAUAAUAAACUACUAAGAGGUUAUGAGGUCAUUUAUAUAAAGUAAAAGAGGUCAUUGAAAGGUCACAUAAGUAAUUAAACAGACAGUACCAGAGUCAUGUACAGAAAAGAUUAAAUACUCGAUAAAGGAGCCAUAAAGGGUCAAUAAGUAAUUAACAAGGUCAUACGAGGUCAUAGUUAUAAAGAGGUCAUUCAGAAUUAUAAUAAACAGAUUAUAAAAAGGUCAGCUAGGGUCACCUUUGAAGGUCAGCCCCAAAUACUUGAUGAGAGCCAUAAUGGGUCAGAUAAAUAAUUAACAAGGUCAUACGAGGUCAUAGCUAUCAAGAGGUUAUUUAGUCUCAUGAUAGAUCUUAAUAAGGUCAGAUGGAGUCACAUGCGAAGGUCAGCUCUAACCAGUUCGUUUAUUGGUUGACUCCUCCUAGCCAAUCAGCGCCUUUGUUGGUAUCUCGUAUCCAGUAUCUAAUUGGUACACUCUUAACCAAUAAGCUGCCAGUAUUUCAGCAAAUCGAAAUUACAGCAUAGAUUUUUUUUAUCACGUGAAUUUACUUAUUAAAAACUUGUGAUCUGUCGGAUUGAGAAUUAAAAGAAAAAAUCCCUCACACGCAAGAAACAUUACCAGUAAGAUCAGGAAAGGCGAAAAUUUUUGGAUGAUUAAACGUAGCAUAAAUAAUAAUAAUAACUGAAUAAAUACAUAUAUAAUGACAGUCAGUAACCAACAGUACUUCUAGCAAAUAAUUGGUUUAAGCUUUCGUUUAUUCAUUCUGUUUUAAAGACAUUAUAUUUCUGCAAAAGGUUUAGUAUUGAAAAAUUUAUCCAUUAUUAAUAAAAAAAAAUAUAUUGAUUAAUUAAGGACCUAACAUAACGACAUUCUUACUUGUUAAUAAAUAUAUGGGACAACAGAUGAGAGAGUAUGUAGUCCCCGCGAGCUUAUUACCAGUGUGUUCGGGUACCUCGGGUCUCUGUGUUCGAAUCCAGUUAUUGGUUUAUUUUAAUACAGUUUUACGGUGAGUUAGGUUUAUUUAAGGAAAAUUUUAGGGAUGCAAGUUUUUCAUUUUUUAUUUUUAUUUUAUUUUUUUGUUUUUUGAGGAAGUUUUAAAAUAUUUUGGGAGAAUAUUUGUGGAUGUCGUGAAUAGUCUUGUGUACGCCUCUCGUAAACACCAUGUAUUUAUUAUUAUUAUUAUUAUUAUUAUUAUUAUUAUUAUUAUUAUUGUUAUUAUUAUUAUUAUUAUUAUUAUUAUUAUUAUUAUUAUUAUUAUUAUUGUAAUUAUUAUUGUUAUUAUUAUUAUCAAAAGAGAAUGUCGUCAUUAUGCAACUUUGUACGCGUUCUGUGCUUUACUUAUGACAAAUAGAGAAUCUUACAUUAUUA